AUGGUUCUCAAAGACGAAAGCAGUGAGGACACGUCCAACCUGCCGUACAUGCACUCGACCUCAUCCACGGACGGGCUUAACCAGGUCCCUUUCAGCGUUGAAGAUCCAGGUUACCAGGGGCUUGAGUUGGAAACGAUGUCGCCAUGUGAGAAGCACGGCAAGGCAUCUGAGAGGCUUGUCGCAUUUGAAGGAAUAGACACAGGGAGAAGGUUCCUAGAAGGGCAGAAUUGUGGGUUUGUUGAAUGGGUUGACCACCAAUGGCCCCCAACAAUGCAAAAUGCAUUGUUGAAGCUGUGGGCCAUGGUUGAAGAUAGCAAGAGUGCUAGGGUGAAUGAUAAUCUUGAUAGUUCUUUCACUAUCCACCAUCGGACAGAAGAGAAGAACAAGCUGGAGGCCAACUAUGACAAGUUAGUCCAAGAUGUGCAUGAGCUUAUGAGCUUCCAGGAGGACAGGGUGGUGGAUUUCAGAUAUCUGUAG
rnacentral:rRNA from 1 species